UACGAAGGGGGCUAGCGUUGUUCGGAAUUACUGGGCGUAAAGCGCGCGCAGGCGGUUAUCCAAGUCAGUGGUGAAAGCCCGGAGCUCAACUCCGGAACUGCCAUUGAAACUGUUUAGCUUGAGGAUGAGAGAGGUGAGUGGAAUUCCCAGUGUAGAGGUGAAAUUCGUAGAUAUUGGGAAGAACACCGGUGGCGAAGGCGGCUCACUGGCUCAUUACUGACGCUCAGGCGCGAUAGCGUGGGGAUCAAACAGG
rnacentral:rRNA from 1 species